UGUGUGUAUACAUAUUCACACUUGAAUCGCAGAUGGCUUGUGUGACGAAAGAAUGCAGCAAACCUCAACAGAUUGCGCUCUGUUCGUUGUUCACAGCUGUUUACGCUCUCUAAUCGAAUAUAAUCAAAGGUUCCUACUAAUUACAUAUUCAAAUUUCAAACAAUUAACAGCGCCUUAAUUGAAAUUAAAACGCGAGUGCGUCUUUCGAAGCGUUAAAUAAGGCACACCGUUUGUGAAAUGGGGAAAUAGUGAAAUUAGUAAAAAAGUUAAUAUUUUUUAUAUGUUUAAUGAAAAUUGUAAAAUAUGCUAAUAUUUGGACAUGUUUGGCAUACCCUAUUCAGACAUAAAUAUAAACAUAUGUAUAUCUGUAUAUACAUGUACAUAUGUACAUAAAUAUACAUACAUCUACUUAUAAAAUAUAUUUAACAAGGACUAAUUUUCCGUUUAUGUGUGUGUACGCGAUCCGGUGAUACGUGCAUUUCGCAGCCCAGUUCAUCAAGUAUACCUCAGCGCGUUGCACUCUGCUCGCCCCAAACUUAAUUACACAUCAACAAUGUGCUACUAAAAUAAACACUUUAUAAUACAUGGUGAUGGAAUACAAAAAAAGGAAACAAUAGAAAUGUGAAAGAAACAAGUAUAACAGAAGCAAAUGAGCAGCAAGCGCUCAUGAUUUUUAAACUGUCGCUCAUUCGCCUGUUCUGUAUAUUUUUAAAUAUUUAACAUAAAAUUAUCUUUUUAGUAUAAUCGGCUGAGCUGCAGAGAGCAUGUGUGCGAGCGCGUGCGCUCUUCGCAAACCUGUUCUCACACACACGUUCUAGAGCUGUUUUCCUCUGUUGUAUUUGCAUUCUCACAUGCUGUUAAGUCGGAAUUUGCCGACCAAAUGGGCAUUCGCUAUUACUCUAAAUAAUUUUAUUUUUCAGAAAUGUUUGGUGUUUAGCGUUGCUUCAUAGCAAUAUUAAGCGAAACGACACGUUUUUAAUAUUUUUUUUUACAAUGUACAAUGGAGUUUUUGACUUAGCAAUAUGCUUACUUUAUAGGCUCAUAAAAUUUUAUGUAAGUAUGUACAUAUGUACAUAUUACAUAUGAAUACAAGCAUGUUGUUCUGUUACUUGGUUUUCCCAUUGUAUUUUUUUAGUUGUGUGUUUGCAAUUUUAAGAGUACAGUCGUUGUUCCAUAUAUUUGUGCGCAUUGUUUGUGAUUUUCUUACUCCCUGUCCCUUGAAUUUGUGUCGAGUUGCAUGAUUUCAGGGACCCCCUUUUUUCUAUAACUUUUCCCUUCCUUUCAAGUUCUUGGCGUAGCCACAGAAAAAAUCUACCAAAUAUAUACAGCUAUUUUAAUUGAUAAUUAAGUUAAAAUACGCGCAAUUAUCGUCGUUUUAAGGGUGGGACAUUUACAAUUGUACAAACUUACACAUGUUUGUAGUCAGGUAUAACUUAGCGAACAAUCAUAUCAAUAGUGUAUUCUGUUAAGUGACAGGCUAUAGCGAGCAUUACAUUUACAUGGGUUCCAUGAUUCAAUUAUGUACAUACAAACAUAUGUAUGUAUGUAUAUAAGGUUGUGUCGAUAUAUUUUUUCAAACAUUUCAGCCAACGAAAAUAUGCUUUUGAGUGAUAACGGAAUACGAAUAGAUUGUAAUUCACAAAAAGUUAUCUAAAUCUGAACAAGAAGUCGGGUCAAAAUAGACAAUCAAGAAAAAAAUAUUUCUAGUCAAAGGUCAAAAAAAUGUUAAUUCACGACUUUCAACGAAUUGACCUACCGUUUCUGAGAUAAAAUGGCUGUUACAUAUGCACACAUUUCCACACCACAUAUGAGUUGUUGGUGGGCAAUACAAACAAGCUUGCAGCGUAUGUAAAUAACAUACACGAAUAUUUUCAUUUUGUUCCGCUUCUACCCGAAUUGUUGAUUUCAGUUGCUGGGGGUUUUCCUCGUUUUGCGUUAAGUCAUGGUUAAGGAUCUGCGCAAUUUUCCUCGCAUACACACAUCAUGUGUUCUGCACUCUCAAUCACCUUACCGAAAAUAUGCAAAAUAUUUUAAGGUUUUAAUAAAAAUCAAACGUGGAGAUACCUAGACUUGCAGUUUACAAAAUGUUCUUUUCAUUUUAUAUUUAUUUCUUAUGUGGUCAAGUUAGGAAUGGUAAAACAAUUUGUGAACGUGAAAGGAUAUUAUUUUAAUUAAAAUUGUAAAAAAUUUCCAAAGUUUGGUAAGGAAAACUUGAAAGGAGAGAUAUUGGAAUUGAUGUAUAAUAUAGUAACUAAUUAAAAUUUCCUAAGAAACUAUAAAGUACCAAAUUAAGAAUAAUUUAUGUAAAAUAUGCUGUCAAAUGUUCAGACUCUUCGAGCAAAUGGAUAUGAGGAAAAAGGAGAAUGGUUCCAACAGGAUUUAAAAGUGAUGGAAGAAUGGUAUUGAGGUUAAUGGCAUUGAUGGCAGAUUACUGGAACUCGUUUAAAGAAGAUUGCCGACUGUAAAAUUAUAAAAGAAAAGCUAAUAAAAGGCGUUUAUUGAAAUAUAAGACAUGCUUCUGACAUUUGCAUAUCUUUUACUUCGAAGGAUCCUUAAACAAUACUGACAUUACAAAUAUACCUGCUAUUUUGUUUCAUGUUUUCUGAUUUUGGUUUUGUAAAAUGAUAAUAAAGAUGUGAAAAUAAACGAGAACAAAUCUUACAAAAUCAUUGAAAGUUUCAUCAACUGGAGGCACAAUUACAUAUAUCCAAAUCGAUCUUAUAACUAGGCCAACAAAGCCACUGGAGACCAGUAUAAUAAAAGAAGUAAAGAAUUUUCGAAUGAAGAGGAUUACUUUUUCGUAAAAGAGCUGGAAUUACCAAUCUGUUCAAAAACUGUUAGUCGACUCGUAAAAAGAAAUGGCAUUAAAGAUGUUAUUUUUACAGGAUAACGAUGCGAAACAUACUUCAAACUUUUUAAAGCUGGCAUAUUGGAGAUGGA